rnacentral:rRNA from 1 species
GACGAACGCUGGCGGCGCGCCUAACACAUGCAAGUCGAACGAGCGAGAGAGAGCUUGCUUUCUCAAGCGAGUGGCGAACGGGUGAGUAACGCGUGAGGAACCUGCCUCAAAGAGGGGGACAACAGUUGGAAACGACUGCUAAUACCGCAUAAGCCCACAGGUCGGCAUCGACCAGAGGGAAAGGGAGCAAUCCGCUUUGAGAUGGCCUCGCGUCCGAUUAGCUAGUUGGUGAAGUAACGGCCCACCAAGGCAACGAUCGGUAGCCGGACUGAGAGGUUGAACGGCCACAUUGGGACUGAGACACGGCCCAGACUCCUACGGGAGGCAGCAGUGGGGAAUAUUGCACAAUGGGGGAAACCCUGAUGCAGCGACGCCGCGUGGAGGAAGAAGGUCUUCGGAUUGUAAACUCCUGUUGUUGAGGAAGAUAAUGACGGUACUCAACAAGGAAGUGACGGCUAACUACGUG